GGGUCAGUAGGUUGGUCGUGCCACCGGUACGUACUGGUCUCACUGAUUCCUCCUUCCUAAAGAACCGUAAUGCCAUUAAUUUGGUGUUGCGGGGAAACAGGACUGUUACUUUGAAAAAAUUAGAGUGUUUAGAGCAAGCUAACGCUUGAAUACAUUAGCAUGGAAUAAUGAAAUAGGACGAUCGAUCCUAUUUUGUUGGUUUCUAGGAUUGACGUA
rnacentral:rRNA from 1 species